rnacentral:rRNA from 1 species
UCUAUUUGGAGGUAUAAGAAGUCUGGCCUGCCCACUGAGGUUAAGGUAUUAAAGGGCCGCGGUAUUAUGACCGUGCAAAGGUAGCAUAAUCAUUUGGUUUUUAAAUGGGAUCUUGUAUGAAUGGUUGAACAAAGGAAUAACUGUCUUUAAUAUAAAAUUUGAAUUUUAUUUUUAAGUGAGAAGGCUUAAAUGAUUUAAGGGGACGAUAAGACCCUAUAAAACUUUACAUUAAAAUUAUAUUUAAUUAAGGUUAAAGAUAAAGAUUUAGUAUAGUAAUUUGUUAUGUUGGGGAGACAAAAGUAGAAAUUAUAUUAGCUGCUUGAGAUGUAAUCACUGAUUAGUGAAGGUAGUAAUAGAUCUAAAAAUAACAAUUGAAAGAUUAAGUUACUUUAGGGAUAACAGUGUAAUUUUUUUUGAGAGUUCAUAUCGGAAAAAAAGUUUGCAACCUCGAUGUUGAAUUAAAAUUUCUAUAUAAUGUAGCUGUUAUAUAAGAGGGUCUGUUCGACCUUUAAUUU